GACAGAGGCCCCAAGCGUUAGGCGGAAUCACUGGGCUUAAAGCGUGUGUAGGCGGACGCCUAAGUGUCUUGUGAAAUCCCACGGCUCACCCGUGGAACUGCUGGGCAUACUGGGCGUCUUGGGCCAACUAGGGGCAGCCGGAACAAGCGGUGGAGCGGUGAAAUGCGUAGAUAUCGCUUGGAACGCCGAAGGUGAAAACAGGCUGCUGGGGUUGUGCCGACGCUGGAGACACGAAAGCCAGGGGAGCAAACGGG
rnacentral:rRNA from 1 species